AGAUGAACUAGUUAACUAAAUUGAGCACCCUAGUUGGUGCAGUAAAAAGUCCCACUGUUUUGACAACAAAUAUUUACAAAACAUGCCACCCAGCAAACUUGACAGUCUCUAUCGACGAAUGCUUAUUACAAGAUUUUUUGAGAAGGGAUGGGGAAAGCCUGAGAACUUACAUAGAGUAUUUCAGUUUCGAAAAAUAAUUUCAUGUAGGGAAACAUGUUUCAAACUUGUGCCACGCGACUAUCCAGUGGAGAUUACGAAAAAGAAAAAAUAUUCCGAUUCGACUUUGAUAGAAGGCACUUUUACGACUCCCCUUGAGCUACACAUGCCUGGAGUCGUUCCUGAAGCAGCCCAGCAGGCAUAUUUUCAAUUAUUAUUGCCCAAUAAAUGGAAUAACGAACAACAUAAGCCAAUUUGUAUCCAUUUGGCGGGAACUGGAGAUCAUUUUUUUUGGCGCCGAAGAAAUUUUAUUGCAAAGCCAUUACUGAAGGAUGCAAAUAUUGGAUCGAUUAUAUUGGAAAAUCCAUUUUACGGACUGCGGAAACCCGAUGAUCAAAUACGAUCGAAUUUGCAUAACGUGUCAGAUAUAUUUGUUAUGGGUGGAUGUCUUAUACUUGAAUGUCUUGUUCUUUUGCACUGGUGUGAAAGAAACGGCUUCGGUCCACUUGGAAUCACCGGAUUAUCGAUGGGAGGUCAUAUGGCAUCGCUAGCAGCAACGAACUGGCCGAAGCCCUUAGUUCUAGUCCCGUGUUUAUCUUGGUCUACUGCAUCGGCUGUUUUCACCACUGGCGUAAUGAGUCAAUCCAUCAACUGGGAUAUGCUGGAGACGCAGUAUUACUCUGAUGGCCAAUAUAGGGAACGUCUUUCAAAAAUGGUUACCAUUAUAGACGAUGCCUUCACGGCUGGUCAAAAGUUUAUACAGAAUUUUAAUCAGUCGCUGCAUGAGCUCAAAGAGGAUAUUGAUGAUACCAGAAAGAUUCAGACUCUGGAGCGUGAUAAUGAUGGAAAUAAUAACAAGACACAAAGCCAUUUGUUAGAUAACGCUGAUAAUUCAAUAUUUCUAUCAAAAACACUUGAAAAUAGACAACUGGACUCUAACCAUAUAUCUUUGCCAUUAAAAGAAAUCCUCAGUGAAAACAUUUCUGGCAAUUCUGAAUUAGCUUUAUGCAAUUCAGACUCGACAGAAGGAUCGGCAUUAACGAAACUAAUGAAAUUUAUUUUACCUAUGUCCGCACAAAACAAAGCUAAAAAAAUUGAUAUUACAAAGACAAAUUGGUGGGAGAGAGAAGCGUUACAAUUCAUGCGAGGAAUGAUGGACGAGUGUACACAUUUAAAGAACUUUUCAAUACCAUUUGAUACCUCCCUAAUAAUAGCAGUGUGUGCAAGAGAUGAUGCAUAUGUUCCGCGAGAUGGAUGUUCCAGCCUUGAAGACAUAUGGCCAGGAGCUGAAGUAAGGUAUUUAGAUGCUGGUCAUGUAAGCGCCUAUGUGUUGCACCAAAAAUUGUUUAGAUCGUGUAUAAUUGAGGCUUUUGAUAGAGCUAAAAAGAUCUAUGGAAAAGAGAGCUUUAAAGAUGUGUCAGCCGCUAUGAAAUAAACGUGGGGAAAAAAAACAUAACCAUCUAAACCGAUUUUUCUUGAAAUUAAUUCUGGCUUGUUUAGUUUCUCACAACUGACAAAUUAAGGACUACAAAGAACUCUAAGGAGUUCACGAGUGCCAAAGCAGUUUUUUCCAGGAUCAGACUUUAAUUAAGCCAGAUAACGUUUAAAUAAGCUAAAAUUAUACUCAAUGCUCGAUUUUUAUAAUUUUAAGAGAAAUAGUUA